UGGAAUGAAUGGUUGGAUGAGAAAUUUACUUUCUUUUAUUUAUACAUAAAAUUUGAUUUUUUAGUCAAAAAGCUUAAAUAUAAUUAUAGGACGAGAAGACCCUAUAGAACUUUACUUUUUAUAAUUUUAUAAUUUUUUUAAAAAUAAUUUUUUAUUAUUUUAUAAAAUGUUUUAUUGGGGCGAUAAAAAAAAAUUCUUAACUUUUUUUAUUUUAAUCAUUAAUUUAUGAUUUUUUGAUCCUUUAUUAAGGAAUAAAGAUUAAGUUACCUUAGGGAUAACAGCGUUAUUAUUUUGGAGAGUUCUUAUUGAUAAAAUAGUUUGCCACCUCG
rnacentral:rRNA from 1 species